rnacentral:pre_miRNA from 1 species
GUUGGUUGGCAUUCUGGGCCUAGUUUGUAACACUUUUGUAUUAACUAUUCUAGGAUGUCAGCAUAGUUG